CCCGCCCCGCCUCCCGUCCGCCCCCUGCCCAGAAGGCCCUGCAGGGACGCGGCCGUUCCCCUCCCCAGCUCCCGGGGCGCGCCGUCCAGCCCGCAGCAUGAGCGACCCCGCCGCGACCCCUAUCUUCGCACCCGGAGAGAACUGCAGCCCCGCGUGGCGGGCGGCGCCCGCAGCUUACGACGCGUCGGACACGCACCUGCAGAUCCUGGGCAAGCCGGUGAUGGAGCGCUGGGAGACCCCGUACAUGCACGCGCUGGCGGCCGCCGCCGCCUCCAGAGGUAGCCUCCCCAGCCCCACCCAGUGUGUAAGGCGUGGGCUCUCUGUCUGCCCAGGGGGCCGGGUGUUGGAGGUGGGCUUUGGCAUGGCCAUCGCAGCUACGAAGGUGCAGGAGGCCCCCAUCGACGAGCACUGGGUCAUCGAGUGCAAUGAGGGCGUCUUCCAGCGGCUCCAGGACUGGGCCCCGCGGCAGCCACACAAGGUGGUUCCCUUGAAAGGCCUGUGGGAGGAGGUGGCACCCACCCUGCCAGACAGUCACUUCGAUGGGAUCCUGUACGACACGUACCCGCUGUCUGAGGAGACCUGGCACACGCACCAGUUCAACUUCAUUCGGGUAGGAUCGCUUGCGGUGGGACGGGGUCUGCCAGCCCUAAGGUGGGGGUCAGCCCAGUGGGUGCGCCUGCUGUCCCCACAGGAGGCACCUCUCCUUCCGGCGUUCCUCUGGCCUGGCGGGAGGCCCGCUGGGAACGCCUCUGCCCAUCCCCACCCCCUCCUGACCACUGUCCCCCCAACCCCGGCCAGGACCAUGCCUUCCGCCUGCUGAAGCCAGGGGGCAUCCUUACCUACUGCAACCUCACCUCCUGGGGGAAGCUGAUGAAGUCCAAGUACUCGGACAUCACCACCAUGUUCGAGGGUGCAUCUUUAUGGGUCUAGCCACCCCUUGUCUUGGGCCUUUGCCCACUCGGUUCCCUCUGCCUGCGAGGACGUGUGGGUGAGCAGCCUGGUGAUACCCCAUGACAGCCAGGAAGCUGUGUGUGGACACCUGGAGAUUCCCACCCAGACCUGGGCUCCAGCAUUUUCUUAGCAGCCCCGCCCUGCCCCCAAGGGCCUUGGCACUUGUAGGGGUGGCUGGCAGGGUGCCUCCUGAGGCCCCAGGGCCCUGGAGGUGAC